rnacentral:rRNA from 1 species
GACAGAGGCCACAAGCGUUAGGCGGAUUCACUGGGCUUAAAGCGUGUGUAGGCGGAUCGUUAAGUGCCUUGUGAAAUCCCACAGCUUAACUGUGGAACUGCUUGGCAUACUGGCGGUCUUGAGCCAUCUAGGGGUUGCUGGAACAAACGGUGGAGCGGUGAAAUGCGUAGAUAUCGUUUGGAACGCCAAUGGUGAAAACAGGCAACUGGGGAUGUGCUGACGCUGAGACACGAAAGCCAGGGGAGCAAACGGG